rnacentral:lncRNA from 1 species
CCUGUCUCCCCUACUCACACCCAGCUGGGUAACUAUUCCUGGCAACCUGAGCAGGAGAAACGCAUGGAGGCUUAUUAAAAUUGGGAACACCAGAAACAGCUACAAGAAUCUGCGUGGAAAAUGAAGUGAUCUGCUGGCCAAUGUCUAAACGUAUGUUUAAGUUGAGAUUCUGCUCACUGGAUAAUUCUUUCAAUGACAGUCCUGUU